rnacentral:rRNA from 1 species
AGUGAACGCUGGCGGUAGGCCUAGCACAUGCAAGUCGAACGGCAGCACAGGAGAGCUUGCUCUCUGGGUGGCGAGUGGCGGACGGGUGAGGAAUACAUCGGAAUCUGCCCAGUCGUGGGGGAUAACGUAGGGAAACUUACGCUAAUACCGCAUACGACCUUCGGGUGAAAGAGGGGGAUCGCAAGACCUCUCGCGAUUGGAUGAGCCGAUGUCGGAUUAGCUAGUUGGCGGGGUAAUGGCCCACCAAGGCGACGAUCCGUAGCUGGUCUGAGAGGAUGAUCAGCCACACUGGAACUGAGACACGGUCCAGACUCCUACGGGAGGCAGCAGUGGGGAAUAUUGGACAAUGGGCGCAAGCCUGAUCCAGCCAUACCGCGUGGGUGAAGAAGGCCUUCGGGUUGUAAAGCCCUUUUGUUGGGAAAGAAAUCUUUCAGGCUAAUACCCUGGGAGGAUGACGGUACCCAAAGAAUAAGCACCGGCUAACUUCGUG